GGGAAUUUGGACUUCACAGAUGUGAAGAUACAGAGAGAACAUCAUCUACAAACCAAGGAACGACUGAGACCACCAGGUCUAGGAGAGAGGUUUCCUGCCGCCCGCCGCGAGCGAUGGAGUCAGUCAAACUGAAGAAAAGUCUCCGCUCUACCUUCGUGAGCCUCAGUUUCUUCAGCUGCCAAAUGGGAGUGACCGCUGACCGCGUGGAGAUGUGAACCUCAGAUGCCCAAAUACAGAUGUGCCAACCACAGGCGCGUUGCUAAGCAAAGGAAAAGGCUAGCAACUCUGUCCAGCAAAUUAGAUUGUCUGAUGGCGUCUGCUCUGUGGCCUCCGACGGGAUGAGGCUGC